GUCCAUGGCCAUACCACCCUGAAUGCACCCGAGCUUGUCUGAUCUCAGAAGCUAAGCAGGGUCGGGCUGGUUAGUACUUGGAUGGGAGAAUCCUGAGAGAGACAGUGACUCCCUGGGAA
ensembl:rRNA 5S_rRNA 5S ribosomal RNA